rnacentral:rRNA from 1 species
ACGCUCGACACCUACGGGAGUCAGCAGUGGGGGAUAUUGCACAAUGGGGGAAACCCUGAUGCAGCAACGCCGCGUGUGGGAAGAAGGUUUUCGGAUUGUAAACCACUGUUCUCAGGGACGAUAAUGACGGUACCUGAGGAGAAAGCUCCGGCUAACUACGUGUCAGCAGCCGCGGUAAUCUGAGCGGGCUGGCAAGGC